UACGUAGGGACCGAGCGUUGUCCGGAAUCAUUGGGCGUAAAGAGCGUGUAGGCGGCUAUUUAAGUCCUGCGUGAAAUCCUGCGGCUCAACCGCAGACGGUCGUGGGAAACUGGAUGGCUAGAGUGCGGGAGAGGAGAGUGGAAUUCCCGGUGUAGCAGUGAAAUGCGUAGAUAUCAGGAGGAACACCGAUGGCGAAGGCAGGUCUCUGGGCUGACACUGACGCUCAUGCACGAAAGCGUGGGAGCAACAG
rnacentral:rRNA from 1 species